AACUGAUCCAUAAAGCAGUAGUACUAUGUGAUACAAAGAAUGUAAGAAGACUAGGGUGAAGAAGAUUUAUUAUUGUGUCCUAGCAACAGCAGUACAAAGCUAUUGAUGUUCAGGAAAAUUAAAAAGACAAAUGAAUCCUAUAUGUUGAGAUGUAUAGAGUUCAUAAUUCAAUGAACAAUAUUUACAGGGAUUGCUUAUGGCAAUUGAAGAGAUCUUUUGAUCCUCCCUUGUUCAUCUCAUAUGCCAUGUAUUAGAGGCCUCUCAUCUUGAUUUUAUUUGGUCCUUACCUCAUUUCCUGAUUUAAAUUAUUCAGUGGACCCUUUUUGUGCAUAUUUUCAUCUGUCUGAUUCAUCUGUUAUCUCUUAUACUUGUUUCUUUCAUCCAUGCAUACUAUUGCUUGAUUGUUUAACAUGUUCACACUCCCAUACAUUAUUUAAUGCCCCAUUAUUUCAUUCUUUGAUUCUUUGAUUUGAU